GAUGAACGCUGGCGGCGUGCCUAAUACAUGCAAGUCGAGCGAACGGACGAGAAGCUUGCUUCUCUGAUGUUAGCGGCGGACGGGUGAGUAACACGUGGAUAACCUACCUAUAAGACUGGGAUAACUUCGGGAAACCGGAGCUAAUACCGGAUAAUAUUUUGAACCGCAUGGUUCAAAAGUGAAAGACGGUCUUGCUGUCACUUAUAGAUGGAUCCGCGCUGCAUUAGCUAGUUGGUAAGGUAACGGCUUACCAAGGCAACGAUGCAUAGCCGACCUGAGAGGGUGAUCGGCCACACUGGAACUGAGACACGGUCCAGACUCCUACGGGAGGCAGCAGUAGGGAAUCUUCCGCAAUGGGCGAGAGCCUGACGGAGCAACGCCGCGUGAGUGAUGAAGGUCUUCGGAUCGUAAAACUCUGUUAUUAGGGAAGAACAUAUGUGUAAGUAACUGUGCACAUCUUGACGGUACCUAAUCAGAAAGCCACGGCUAACUACGUGCCAGCAGCCGCGGUAAUACGUAGGUGGCAAGCGUUAUCCGGAAUUAUUGGGCGUAAAGCGCGCGUAGGCGGUUUUUUAAGUCUGAUGUGAAAGCCCACGGCUCAACCGUGGAGGGUCAUUGGAAACUGGAAAACUUGAGUGCAGAAGAGGAAAGUGGAAUUCCAUGUGUAGCGGUGAAAUGCGCAGAGAUAUGGAGGAACACCAGUGGCGAAGGCGACUUUCUGGUCUGUAACUGACGCUGAUGUGCGAAAGCGUGGGGAUCAAACAGGAUUAGAUACCCUGGUAGUCCACGCCGUAAACGAUGAGUGCUAAGUGUUAGGGGGUUUCCGCCCCUUAGUGCUGCAGCUAACGCAUUAAGCACUCCGCCUGGGGAGUACGACCGCAAGGUUGAAACUCAAAGGAAUUGACGGGGACCCGCACAAGCGGUGGAGCAUGUGGUUUAAUUCGAAGCAACGCGAAGAACCUUACCAAAUCUUGACAUCCUUUGACAACUCUAGAGAUAGAGCUUUCCCCUUCGGGGGACAAAGUGACAGGUGGUGCAUGGUUGUCGUCAGCUCGUGUCGUGAGAUGUUGGGUUAAGUCCCGCAACGAGCGCAACCCUUAAGCUUAGUUGCCAUCAUUAAGUUGGGCACUCUAAGUUGACUGCCGGUGACAAACCGGAGGAAGGUGGGGAUGACGUCAAAUCAUCAUGCCCCUUAUGAUUUGGGCUACACACGUGCUACAAUGGACAAUACAAAGGGCAGCGAAACCGCGAGGUCAAGCAAAUCCCAUAAAGUUGUUCUCAGUUCGGAUUGUAGUCUGCAACUCGACUAUAUGAAGCUGGAAUCGCUAGUAAUCGUAGAUCAGCAUGCUACGGUGAAUACGUUCCCGGGUCU
rnacentral:rRNA from 1 species